UCUUGUGGAUGAGCAAAGAAAGUGAUUUCUUGAGAUGGAAUCUACUCCUGGUAAAGAAUGCUGUGAA
rnacentral:pre_miRNA from 1 species